CGCCGAAGCGAGGCGUGAGCGCUAAUCCCUAGCGCGUCGGCGCUUGGCGGUUCACACCGGUGCGGUAGCGACGCCGUUAUCAGCCUGCGAUAUAUACUGACAUGUCAGUACUGGGGGAGGACAUCAGACCAGAGUGUUGGUGGUACUACCAGCCUAACAGAGGACAAACUACAGUCCCAAGCAUUGGAUUGGACUCCAUAUCUGACCUGCAGCUCAUCAGAGGGGAGGAUCUCCCUGCCAACAUCACACCUGUACAAUGUCGGAGGCUUCUCAAUGCUUGGCAAACCAAAAGUCAUCAUCAACCAUCCGUGAGCCAAAUCGGCUGAUUUGCAAUACCGUUUUUUUGUUUUGUUCUAGCAGGUAUAACUUUUGUAAACACAUGUAAGUUUGAAAUGAUGAUACUUUGAAGCUUUUGAAAAUGAUAUUGGUAUGAUCUCGUUACCCUCAACAGUUUCUUUCGACGUCAGCUGAUGACGUCGAAAGAACACUGAACUUUCCUCACUUUCCGAAACUAAUUGUCUCAGGUAGUGUAUAAAGUUUCUUUUAAACUGUUGUUAAAAGCAUUGCACAGACCGAGACUGUAUAACAGUUAAACAUGUGGAUAUGUCUAUGUGGAAAGCAACAGAAAUUAUGUUAGAUCAUAAACUGCCUUCGUCUGCUGCCCUCUGCAGUUGUCCAAGUAAGACGAUUUUUUUUUCUUAAGGGUUAGGCUUACCAACCAGCACUGAUGUCGCUGCAUGGACAUAACCCCGGGCAAUGAGUCCUUCAAUUGAAGAUCUCAUGACUAGCCCAACAACAGUGGCUCCAAACUGGGACAACUACCAAACAACGUUUAAACCACAACAAACAUGGCAAAAAUAUGUUUAGUAAUCCACAACAGAAUAUAUAUCAACUCUUUAUUGUUGUGCGCUGGACCUUUAUUGCAGAAGAAGUAAGAACUUGAUCAUCCUACUUGGUUUAUGUGCAGUGAAUAUUUUAUAGUUAGUGUUGUUCAUAAAAAUGAAACUGACUUUUCUUUA